rnacentral:lncRNA from 1 species
GGCAGCUCCCAUGACACUCUGGGGCUCUGAGUGACUUCUCAGGAAGACUUGAGCAACAGAAGGGAGAGGAGUUCCCGGCUCUAAGUAACGGAGUCCAGUGUGGCUGGAGGACGCAGUUCUCAUACAUUCCCUAUCUGCUUGCUGAUGAAGGAAGGUGGAAGAAGAUCAAUAAAUAUCGUCAGUUAGUAAAUAAUUAAACAACUUUCUAAGCCGCCCUUGGUACUUCGUCCUG